rnacentral:rRNA from 1 species
UACGUAGGGGGCGAGCGUUGUCCGGAUUUAUUGGGCGUAAAGAGCUCGUAGGCGGUUUAGUAAGUUGGAUGUGAAAUCUCCAGGCUCAACUUGGAGGGGUCAUUCGAUACUGCCAUGACUAGAGUUCGGUAGGGGAGUGUGGAAUUCCUGGUGGAGCGGUGAAAUGCGCAGAUAUCAGGAGGAACACCCGUAGCGAAGGCGGCACUCUGGGCCGGAACUGACGCUGAGGAGCGAAAGCGUGGGGAGCGAACAGG